rnacentral:rRNA from 1 species
ACGGAGGGUGCAAGCGUUAUUCGGAAUUACUGGGCGUAAAGCGCACGUAGGCCGCCUUGUAAGUCAGGGGUGAAAUCCCACGGCUCAACCGUGGAACUGCCUUCGAAACUGCAGAACUUGAAUACUGGAGAGGGGGACGGAAUUCCUGGUGUAGGGGUGAAAUGCGUAGAUAUCAGGAGGAACACCUGUGGCGAAAGCGGUCACCUGGACAAGUACUGACGCUGAGGUGCGAAAGUGUGUGGAUCAAACAG